UAUGCAAGGAUCCGACGGUUGAGAUUAAUUAUAUAUUACUAAAACUUUAAGCUAUAGUAUAGGUAGCAUGCAUGAGUGGUAUGGGUAGUAUAGGAUAUAAUUGGAAAGAUGUAAAAUAGCAUUGUUGAAAUAGAUCAAAUAUUUCUUAAUUAGCAUCUUCUUUCCUUUUUAUUCCUCUUCUCACUUCCAAUCGGUCGCUAGGGCUCCUCAUUUCCAAUCGGUUGCUAGGGUUGCACUGGGGCGGCCGCGAUGAUAUAAUACAAGAAUAACGUGAAUCAAGGGGAGUGGUACAACCUACAAAUGUCAUACUCGAGGCGACGGACACACAUAUAGGCAAACCUGAAUGAUUCGGUUAUGAAUGCUUACAUCCGAAUACUAAAAGCACAACCUAGUAUCAACGGAAGGGAAGAUGGAUAUGCCUAUCUAGAGACAACUUACAAUGCCAACAUGAUAUGUGGGGAUACCAUCGCUUCAUUACGAAAUAAUGAAGAAGGCAACUUCCGUUUAUAUCGCGACAUGGUCUUCUUUCCACUCAACAUUAAAGAUUGUCAUUGGUAUUUGGCGGUCAUUAAUGGUCGUAAGGGUGUCAUUCAGGUACUUGACUCCAAGGGGACUGCCACUCGCCGGCAACAACUACAUCAACUGUUGCAAGGGUUGCAGAACCGUAUGAAUCGCCUUGUAGACCUGCAAUUGAUCACAGCAUAUAGGUGGAAGGACACCCAAGUCAAAGAAUGGCUGGUCAUUGAAUGCAUCAAAAAGAAAAUUCAGAUUGACAACACAUCGUGUGGACUAUUCACGGUGAAAUUCAUGGAGCUUUGGACCGGAAACAAAUUAUCUUCCUUAUUCACAUAGAAGGAUAUGACUAAUUUCAGGCUCAAGCUAGCUGUCACAUUGGUUAACUAUGCGUGGAACAAAGUGAAAGGAAGUCCAGGAUACAAAGCUAGCAAUGCCGACGAGACGUACACGCUGGAAGACAAUGAAAAAUAGAUUACAUUUCAUUCUUUCUGUGUUUACUUCAUUAUCUAGGAUGAUCGAAUAUUCCAAUCAAAUCAUGGUCUUUGCA